AUUGAACGCUGGCGGAGUGCUUAACACAUGCACGUCGAACGGAGUGGCGAACGGAUGAGUAACACGUGGGUGACCUGCCCUGCACUUCGGGAUAAGCCUGGGCAACUGGGUCUAAUACCGGAUAGUGUGGGAUGGGCCCGCGGCCUAUCAGCUUGUUGGUGGGGUAAUGGCCUGCCACGGCGGCGACGGGUAGCCGGCCUGAGAGGGUGGACGGCCACAAUGCGCCUGAGACACGGAGCAGACGCCUACGGGAGGCAGCAGUGGGGAAUAUUGCACAAUGGGCGGAAGCCUGAUGAAGAGACGCUGCGGGGGUGAUGACGGCCUUCGGGGUGUAAACUCCUUUCACCAUCGACGCGGGAGAUGGAGAAGAAGCACCGGCUAACUACGUGUCAGCAGCCGCGGUAAUAC
rnacentral:rRNA from 1 species